rnacentral:rRNA from 1 species
AAUGAACGCUGGCGGCGUGCCUAACACAUGCAAGUCGGAUGUGCCCGCAAGGGUGCAUGGCAGACGGGUGAGUAACGCGUGGGGAAUCUACCUUUUAGUGGGGAAUAACGCUCCGAAAGGAGUGGUAAUACCGCAUGUGACCAUUGGCUGGGAUGCUGAUGGUGAAACCCUGGGACCUUCGGGCCAGGGGCUAGAAGAGGAUCCUGCGUCUGAUUAGCUAGUUGGCGGGGUAACGGCCCACCAAGGCGACGAUCAGUAGCCGGCCUGAGAGGGUGAUCGGCCACACUGGAACUGAGACACGGUCCAGACUCCUACGGGAGGCAGCAGUGGGGAAUUUUGCGCAAUGGACGAAAGUCUGACGCAGCAACGCCGCGUGGGUGAUGAAGGUCUUCGGAUUGUAAAACCCUGUCGCCAGGGACGAAGGGUGAGGUGUGAAUAGCGCCUUACUUUGACGGUACCUGGAAAGGAAGCCCCGGCUAACUCUGUGCCAGCAGCC